rnacentral:tRNA from 1 species
GCGGGCGUAGCUCAGCUGGCUAGAGCGACUGCUUGCCAUGCAGUAGGUCGUCGGUUCGAAUCCGAUCGCCCGCUCCA